rnacentral:rRNA from 1 species
UACGGGGGGUGCGAGCGUUGUCCGGAAUCACUGGGCGUAAAGCGCACGCAGGUGGCUGAGUCAGUCGAUUGUGAAAGCCCUGGGCUUAACCUGGGAAUUGCAGUCGAUACUACUCAGCUAGAGUAUGGGAGAGGGCAGUGGAAUUCCCGGUGUAGCGGUGAAAUGCGUAGAUAUCGGGAGGAACAUCAGUGGCGAAGGCGGCUGCCUGGCCCAAUACUGACACUCAGGUGCGACAGCGUGGGGAGCAAACAGG